GUGCUUAGUAGCAGCCCAUAUGCUAAAAAUGGAAUGAUACAGAGAAGUUUAGCAUGACCCCUCUGUAAGGAUGACACCCAAAUUAGUAAAGCAUUCUGUACUUUU
ensembl:snRNA U6 U6 spliceosomal RNA